UUGUCAGUAAGGAAUAUCCUAACCUGUUACUUUCAGGUACUACCUGUUAAACUCAGCCGCUGCUCAGAGAACUGCAACACUCUGAUCAUCCGUAUCUGAA